rnacentral:rRNA from 1 species
CCUACGGGGGGCUGCAGUGGGGAAUCUUGCGCAAUGCGCGAAAGCGUGACGCAGCAACGCCGCGUGGGGGAAGACGGCCUUCGGGUUGUAAACCCCUUUCAGGAGGGACGAAGGUUCGCCGGUGAAUAGCCGUGCGGAUUGACGGUACCUCCACAAGAAGCUCCGGCUAACUACGUGCCAGCAGCCGCGGUAAUACGUAGGGAGCAAGCGUUGUCCGGAAUCAUUGGGCGUAAAGCGAUAGUAGGUGGCUGAAAGUAAAAGGCUCAACCUUUGAAAGCCGAUGGAUACUGUGUGGCUAGAGUACGGAAGAGGCGAGUGGAAUUCCUGGUGUAGCGGUGGAAUGCGCAGAUAUCAGGAGGAACACCAAUAGCGAAGGCAGCUCGCUGGGACGUUACUGACACUGAGGCGCGAAAGCGUGGGGAGCGAACAGGAUUAGAUACCCGUGUAGUC